AGCUCAUUGAGCUAAACAGAAACAGUUCAUAAGAAUCUUCUUAUGAACUGUUUCUGUUUAGCUUAAUGAGCUCU
rnacentral:pre_miRNA from 1 species